rnacentral:tRNA from 1 species
CACUAAGAAGCUAUUGGUAGCGAUAGCCUUUUAAGCUAUAGUCAGAUGAUCUCCAACCAUCCUUAGUGA